AAAGAGAUAGAGAGGGCAAAAGAUGCAUCCGUAGUGGAUAUGUUUGUUCUUUAAUAAGUUCAAAGGUUACCUUGACUUGAAGCUUAUUUAAAAUUUGACGUAAAAAAUAAUGCGGCGAAAACGGAAAUAUUACUGUUAAGUUGUAAAGGAGUCUGGACUUGAAACUUAACGGCUUAAUUGAAAGCUUAAAAAAAGUUGAUCUAUCGUUAUGCGAUGCUAUACUACGCAAUUUUAUGGCCUAUUGAGAGUGCCCGAGAAAAGCUAUUAAAUUUAAUGGCAAUUGACAAGUGAAAGUUUCUCAUUUUGACUAUUCGUUUCGUGCGGAUCUGCUCAGACAGUAUGAGGACACCAGAAGGGCACAUUAGAGUAUCAACUUGUUAUGGGCACCCGUCGAAACCUCAUUUGAUCGUUGGCGCUAAUGUUCCCCCUCACCGCGACUCGCGCCAACAGCGAUCGCAAACACGUACGGCCAGCUGUGUCCUGUCGCGGGCUGUCGGUUGUCCCUGUGUAUAUAUAGGUAUGAUCAUCCAAUAUCCGCCAGUGUCAUUGUAUCACUGGCGUUUCAUUAGUCGUCAGCGUCGAUAAGUAGUCCCCGGAUUUUGAAGGGCCUGCAAAGACUAAAUAAUAAGUGACCGUAUAGGUGUGUUGUUGCUGAUUUGGCUUGGUUUCGCAGAACCUGCUCAUCACUGCAGGAGAAAAUACUUGCCAUCUGCAAUUAACAAUUAUUACAAUUAUUAAUAUAUAAAAUUAACUCGGAGACAUGGCGGAAGACGAUCAACCCCUUGAUGUGUGCCCCUACAAUAAGAGCCAUCAUAUUUUGCGAACGAGAAUGCCACACCACAUAACUAAGUGUAGCAAAAAUUAUCCAGGUAUCAAACUAAAGCAUUGCCCAUAUGACCGACGGCACAGGCUGCACCCAGAGGAUUAUGAAAGGCACGUCCAGUCCUGUCAAGCAAAAGAAUUUACCGCUCAAACUACGGAAAUUGAAGAAAAUCGAAACGCAACGUUCGAAACACCUGGAAUACUACCAGUCCAGCCAUUUGUAGCAUGGGAUACGCGGGUAAAAGUAUGGGUUGUCGAUGGGGAAUCGCCUAGUCCACUUCAAAGUAUUCAAGCAAAUUCGGAAACUUGGCAAUUCGCAGCUCCUUUAAUAGGUGGCUCAAAAAAACAAAGAAAAGAGCAUCGAUAUCUACAAAGACGUUUGGUUCAGGAGCAGGGGGAGUUUAACGAUCCUAGUCAGAAAGAAAAUCAAAAUCAGAAAAGCAUUGAAAAUUAUCAGGAUAAAUAUGAAAUCUUUCAAACAGAAUCACAGAAAUCUUCGAAUGAGGAGCAGCAUAUCUUUGAUAAAUUGCAUGAAAAACCUGCUAUAGUUCAAUCAGUGCAGAGCAUUGCUAGUCCUUCUACAAAGACAGAAACUGAAGCCUUAAAGAUAUCUGAGUUGUAUAUCAAUAAUCAAAAAAAUGAUUCUGCUAAACAGUCAAACAUUAGUUCUUUUAACUACGCUGCUGCACUAAGUGCAAAGAACAAACAUACUAGGCAGACAGCAAACUUAAAGACUGCUACUAAUUGGAACCAUUCACUUGAGUCUGAGCGUGCUGAUACAUUAGCGCGCUGCUCUGUUGCACUAACUUCCAAAUACGAACAAACUAGACAGACAACAAAGACUGCUACUAAAUGGAAUACUUCAUUUGAGUCCAGAGCUGGUAAUGCAUUGGGAUGCUGCUAUGCUGCUGCAGUUAAUUCCAAGGAUAAACAAACCACAGAGAUGAGGACUGCUAUAAAAAGAAACACUUUACUUGAGUCUAAAGCUGGCAAUACAUCUGGCUUCUCUUCUGCAACAACUUCCAACUAUGGACAGACUAUACAGACGAAGACACAGACAGCUACUAAAUGGAAUACUCCACUCGAGUCCAAAGUUGGUGAUGCCUUAGGAAGUUAUGCUACCUUACUUAGUUCCAAAAAUAAACAGAAUAGACACUCAAAUUCUCUACUUAAGUCUAAGGCUGGCAAUACAUUCGAGUGCUAUUCUUCCGCACUAAAUUCAAAAAAUGAACACGCUACUAAGAAGACAAAUCUAACUCCGUAUACUAACUUGAAUUCUUUACUUAAAUCUAAAGCGUGUGAUACAACAGAGGGAUAUUCUGCUAAACUGAAUUCCAAAAACGAACGAAAUGCAAAAGUGACGAUAAAGACUCAUACCAACUCGAAUUUAUCUCUCAAGUCUAAAGGUGAUGAUGAAUUUGUGUGGUAAAAGUGCCGACGGAAUACCAAGAAUAUAAAUUUUCGACUAAUAACCAUUCCAAAACUUUUCCGAUGAUAAUUAGUUGAUUAAUUAGUAUAUUUUGAGACUUAAGGAGGAGCUAUUAAGAUUAAAAAAAGUGUUGUUUGGUUUAGACAUUCUCGAAUUAUCUAUUGUAAGGUAAAAACAACGUCAAACACAAGGCGAGGAUCAUCUACCUCCUCGUAACGAUCAAUCGAUACUAUAAAAAUGGUGAACAAUGAAAUAACAGAUUUUCAUAAGAGCGAUAGGCAUUUUAUAUAGAUUACAGCUUUGUGAGAUUGAGUUAAGUUGUAACUGCUGAUUUGUACAUAGCUCAUUAAUCAUGCGAUGCGCUCUGCUCUUCCUUUAUAUACAGGCGUAAUUGCGUACAUCCCGUGCGACAUAUAUACAUAAUACAUGCACCCGGGUCAGUCGUAUGCAUGGCGUGUCGUUUAAAAAUCAAUACUCUGUGUCAAUUUUGCAUCGACAUUUAAGAUAACCUUCUAAUUUAUAUUGUAUCGCUCUUCGGUAUCGAAAGACAUUCAUCCGUGCAAGGGUUAUCGCGAAGGCAUGUCCAGCCAAAACUAUCUAUGAUUCCGAGUACAUGAAUGCAACACGUGACGAACAUUUUUCGCAGAUAAGUAGUUGUUGUAUAGCACGUGUUUAGCGUGAAAUGAUACUCAAGCAUACUAUACAAUAUAUAUAAUAUAUAUAUGUAUAUACCGUUAUUGGCGGAAAAUGUAUCAGUGCAACGUUUAUUCGUUUUAAUUUUUUUUCGACUCAUAGUGGCGAUAUCAUGACUACUGCACUCGACAGAAACAAAUUCAAUUCUUUUUUUGCAAUGAAACUUUAAUAAUAAUCACUUUAUUCCCUGAAAAGCGGUACUAAAGUAGCUUUGUAUUCUGUCAUAUAUUUUGUCUCCCAAAUUUGCGGGGAUAAAGUUACUUUAUUCCCGCAAAUGCGGGGCUUCAUAGUACAACAAGGGUCGAAAGUAGCAGAUUUUUUCCGCUGGUGGGUUUACUGCCCGAGCGAAACGAGCUACUUUUGCCCCGAUUUUCAGGUGCCAAAGGUGGCCAUUCCGGUCGGGUGUGGAAUAAAAUUUUUGAUGAUUUUAAAUACAUUUUCUAUUUUUGGAAAAAUAAAAAAAAAUUUUAUUUUUAAAAACUGCAAACCUUGAAAAAUUAAAAAAAAUUGAUUUAGUUUGUAUUGACAAUGGAUAUGUAGAACCUAUACUUUUUAAGACAACAAAGUUGCUACAUAGUUAAGGUAGUACUACCCAAAAGUGAUUGACCGUUCAGAAUUUGAUAAAAUUUGGUA